GAUGAACGCUGGCGGCGUGCCUAAUACAUGCAAGUCGAGCGAACGGACGAGAAGCUUGCUUCUCUGAUGUUAGCGGCGGACGGGUGAGUAACACGUGGAUAACCUACCUAUAAGACUGGGAUAACUUCGGGAAACCGGAGCUAAUACCGGAUGAUAUUUUGAACCGCAUGGUUCAAAAGUGAAAGACGGUCUUGCUGUCACUUAUAGAAGGAUCCGCGCUGCAUUAGCUAGUUGGUAAGGUAACGGCUUACCAAGGCAACGAUGCAUAGCCGACCUGAGAGGGUGAUCGGCCACACUGGAACUGAGACACGGUCCAGACUCCUACGGGAGGCAGCAGUAGGGAAUCUUCCGCAAAGGGCGAAAGCCUGACGGAGCAACGCCGCGUGAGUGAUGAAGGUCUUCGGAUCGUAAAACUCUGUUAUUAGGGAAGAACAUAUGUGUAAGUAACUGUGCACAUCUUGACAGUACCUAAUCAGAAAGCCACGGCUAACUACGUG
rnacentral:rRNA from 1 species